rnacentral:rRNA from 1 species
UCGGGAAUUUUGGGCAAUGGGCGAAAGCCUGACCGAGCGACGCCGCGUGCGGGAUGAAGGCCUUCGGGUUGUAAACCGCUGUCGUAGGGGAGAAAGGGUCGUUGAAGAAACGACUUUGAUCUAUCCUAGGAGGAAGUCCGGGCUAAGUUCGUGCCAGCAGCCGCGGUAACACGAACCGGACAAACGUUAUUCGGAAUUACUGGGCUUAAAGGGUGCGUAGGCGGUGCGGUAAGUGCGGUAUGAAAUCCCACGGCUCAACCGUGGAAUUGCGCUGCAUACUGCCGUGCUAGAGGGAGACAGGGGUAAAAUCCUUUGAUCUAUUGAUGACCACCUGUGGCGAAGGCGGUCUACCAGAACACGUUCGACGGUGAGGGAUGAAAGCUGGGGGAGCAAACCGGAUUAGAUACCCCAGUAGUCCCUGAGCGGGCUGGCAAGGCGCAU